rnacentral:snRNA from 1 species
AGAUGUGAGGGUGAUCUGGCUGUGACAUCUGUCACCCCAUGGGUCACCAGGCUUGAUUUGGCUGAUACGGCUGGCUAGGCAGGUGUCCCUUUCCUACUCAAGGCUCCAUGUGUGUGCCCCUACUGAGGCUGCGUACUCGAAAAGGAUGACCAUCCCCGAUAGAGGAGGACCAUUCCUUGAUCAAGGGUAUAUGAGUAGCUGCACGCCCCUGCUAAAAUCUCUAAACAAGACAAAAGAUGGGAGCUUGGGCUAUAACCCCAAUGGCCUGAGGGUCAAGUGCUUUUUGG